GAAGUUCAAGGCUUCUAGCAGAGAACCAAGAGGAUGAGCAUAGAUCAUAUGAUCAAAAAAACGUUUAAAGGAUAUACAUUUAAUUUUGGGGUGUAAACUGUCCCUUUAAGACUUAUUUAAGUGAGCUGUACUGUUACUUUUCUAGGUGAUUAGAGUUAUAAUUUACGCACAGGAGAUUCAAACAUCAGGAACAACCAUCAGCCAUAUCCAGAGAUCAGAGUACCAUGGAGACUUGGACUCUUGAUUUUUGGAUCAGUAAGCAACCACGCAAAACACCUCAGCAACCACAAAGCAACACCCUGGCAUAUUAGCAGUAAGUUUUGCACGGGCAAACAUCCAGUUAGAAUGACUGAUACAUGUUUUUAGUCAUCAAUACUUAAAAAAAAAAAAUUUAUAGAAUAUAAUUAAUUGGAUCUUAAACUUUUUUUUUUUCAUUUAUUUAUUUAUUUAUGUUUGUUUUCGUAAAGUGCCCUGUAUAUUAUAGCUAACUGUUUUUAAUUGGCAGAGCUGGCAGUGCUUUGUACAUCCCAGCAACUGGUGAGUAUUGCACUCUAAAAAGCCAUGGAUUUUCUGUCUAUCUUGCUAGUGUUUUUAUGUACACAUCAGACUGUAUAACUGUGAGGACACAUAAUAUGCUUCCUCUUCCCUGCCAGACCUGAGUGAGGGACCUGUUUGUGUGCCAUGAGAACAAUGGAACAAAAGCUACAUCCCCAGCCCCCAACCAAAAGCGGCAGAAAGCAAGGCUUCUGUUCUCCUGUGAAGGCUUUGGAACAUGGAUGCAGGUAUUUGGUCCUAUUUAGACACUAAGGUCAGGCAGCGAUGUUAGAUCACAUUCAUUGUUCCAGUUCAUCCCUGAGGAUUUCAGGUCUGGAUUUUGUGAAGGUCAGUCAAGUCUCGUUCAGUAAAUAAUUUUUUGAUAAACCUUGAUUUGUGCACAGGAGCACUCUGAUGCUGGAACAUUAAAGAUACAUUACCUUAUUCAGGUAUAUUACAUUAUCAUCCUUUGACCAAAUGCCAUAUGAACGCAAGUAGAUAUA
ensembl:lncRNA